rnacentral:tRNA from 1 species
GAGUAUAUAGCUCAGUGGUAUAGUGCAUGCUUAGCAUGCACAAGGUUCUGAGUUCAAUCCUCAGUACCUUCA